UGGGCGCCUUCGCACUCACGCCGGUUCCGCCGCCGGCGACCAAGGACGCAGUCCCCACUUUCCCGCAGUUCCAGGGAAAGGGGACUUUCAUGGAAGGCUUCCAUCCUCUCCCUACACACCUACCUUGCAGCUCGAGCCCAUUACUCGGGAAACAAUGUGGGGAAUGCAGUCUCUCCUGCUUUAACAGCAGAAAUGUAAUGGCCAAAACAAGGUGACUGAAAAUAGAAGUGGUAGGUAACUGUAAUAGUGGCGCAACAACACACAGAGCAAAGAUAACAGGAGCACAUGCAUGCACACAUGAGCAGCUCAUGUGUGGACUUUGUGUUGGUCCACCUUCACCUGAAGUUGACAAUACUUCCGCCGCAGGAUACACUGACACAGCUCAUACUGAGAACUGACCUCAAACUUCAUUUUUAUAUUCAUGUAAUUUGUUUUCCGUUGCUCGCUCCGGCACUAUGUGAUGGAGAAGACUGUAUCCCAGCAUGCAGUCACCUUCACGAAACAGAUACCGGAUGGGUAACUUUUUAAAUUAGCACACCUUGCAUUUAUCUUUGUCACUGGACUUAAUACCGUUAUAAACAUCAAACAUAUCUAUUGAAAUAUAAAUCUGCUCGUAGUAAAUAUGAGAUGAGUUCUUCAAACCUCUCAGUCAGCAUGAUGAACAUAAUAAAUCAUUAAUAUGUUUUGAUAUACACCGAUCAGCCAUACCGUUAUGACCACCUGGGCACCCUGACUGUUCUACGCAGCCCCAUAUGCAACUAACUGUGAUGCACUGUGGGCUCUGACAACUUUCUAUCAGAACCAGCAUUAACUUUUUCAAUCAAUUCAAAAAGUAGUUUCUUAGUCAGAACACAAUUUUAUAAGCUUUCCAGAAUAUUUUUUGUGUAUGUUUAUACUUAUAGUUAAGAAGUAGUGUCUAGUUGCAGCCUCAUCUUAUCUUAUACAUAGAAGAAUAACCCCAGUCAGUUCCACAUGGUGAGCUGUACAGAUUAUUAAUUAAAAAGAAAAAACAGCACUGGUAGCGGGUCAAUAUAAGUUUCUACCAAUAAACUGAUUUGGGUGUUGGAAGUGGUCUCUGCGGAGAGAAAGUGGAAUUGUGUCUGUAUCUAUAAUUUGCACUUAUGUGUUUCUAGAGAUAAAUAGGAGAGAAAAAGAAGAAAGAAAAACAGUUAACUUCCAAUUGAUCUCUGACAUAAUGUAUGCGACUCUUGGGAUGACCUUUAGUGUUGUGUGAAAUCAAUGCACUGAUAGCGUGUUUUGAGCCAAUAUCCAAUAAUAAUAUUGAUAUUGGAACAGCCUUUGUCAGUAUAAAUGUAUAUCUUAACACUUUUUCACAUAUUAAUAACAUAAUGGACAUCUGUUGUUUAGUGUUUUAGUCAGUCCAUUUGUUGAUGCAUUGUAAUGAGUUGUGCUCAUCUGCGAGCCUCGUCUGCAAUACAAUUAAAUAUUAUUAAUGUGUGUGUAUGUAUAAAUGUUUGUAAACAAAACUUCAUCCACUAUGUACCACUGUUACAUUAUUUAUAGUACCAGCAAAUCAGGCACUCUUAGAACUUGAAUCUACCAGCACAAUCAGCACUGAGGGCUAUAAAUUAUGUAUAAAAAUGUUGCUAGAGAUUAAACAAAAGCUGUGAUACUGUAGGUAGAUACUAAGUGGUUGCUAGUCACUGAGGUGAGGCAAAGACGAUAGCACUGGUCCUGUUUAAUGGACAGAAUCUUUGUUCUGUAUUUACAUUAUGAGAGUAUCUAAUAAAAAGGGUAGUGGAUUGCUUCGUGCUACUUCUUGACAUUAGUACUGCAGUACUCUCAUUUAGCCGCAUACAAAGUUAAUGACACUAAAGUCACUCAAAAGUUCCAGUUGGAGCAUUUAGUGCCACAUGUCUUUCAUCCUUAAUGUUUCACAACUGUAUAUUUCUUCCUCACCGCUGUGCUGAAUUAUAGAUGAACCAAGCUUGAAGCAAAGUUAAGAUGUAUGGCCUUUGUUAAAAUUCUUCCUAUCACCCAUUUUUCUCCCUACAGUCCAUUUUCUUACUUCGUAUGUUCUUUUAUGAAAGCAAUCAGAUUGGCCUGAUGUGGUGUCAAAAUGAUAGAACAUGACUGAUGCUAUAAUAGGUAGGAGUUCUUUGCAGUCAGAAUGUUCUGAAUUACGAUAAAUUCAAAACAAUUCAAACCCAACAUUGUUUCCGAGCAUUAUACUACAUUACAAAACAAAACACUUUGAUUUCACAUCACAUUGUGUUUUUUCUUUUUAAGGUUCUGCAGGCAAUAGUUUUGAAAACUAAGAUGACAAACUUUUGAGCUUUUGAAGUUCUCCAAGAAAAAGAUAAGACAAGAAAAGGCAAUGACAUAAUGCAAAGGAGACGGUGACUGGCCUGUCCUGCCUUUGUCUCCCUUCAAACAAUCACACAACCACCUUUCAAAUUACCCAGACCUUAUCCAGCCAAUGUGAGUGGUCAGUCAUGCACACUUGGGAAAAGUAUGCCCUUUUCUGAAGUUCGGAUAAAAGUUUAGUGGCAAUUAUUUAGGGAGGAUGGGCUGCUUCUACACCUAAUACCUGACACUUUUUGGUGUUUGGCAUAUCACAAUGACUUCAAGUGAAUUAUUCAGUAUUGAUUAUGUUCAUUAGGGGUAGCAGUUUCUGUCUGUAGACAAUAGACAGUGUUAUGAACAAUGUAGAUCUGAGAAGCAUCAGGCUACAGACUAUACAAUACUCUAUUUCCUGGACUCAACAAGUUCUGGAUAUUUAAACAGCAAUUCUGAAGCAGAGGAAACAGUUUCAGCACUGUUGUACAUCAGAGCUGCCAUGACAAUUGCCCUGCCUCCUUGAAAAUGUAAUUUAGAGACACCAGCUUUUUUUUUCCCCCUAUAAAGAAGUCUACAAGUCAAUAACACUUUCUUCUUGUUUAAAGUCUGUCUUCCAAGUCUACUAAUAACAUGAGCUGUUUUAACAAGCUCAGGCCUUGUUAAUAAGCUGUACAUCACUACUCAUUUCUCUGUUGUUUAUUCGCUCUGUGAGACACUGCAGGUCCUGUCAUACUUGCCAAAGAGAGAGAGAGAGAAGGACAAGACAGGAACAAGUAAAGGGGGGAAAAAUACUGCUUCCAGCUGCUACUCCACUCCACUCUUCAUCACAUCCAGAUCUCCAGCAUUCUCUUUAUUCCUUCAUCACCACCACAACCACCAGUGUCUAGACUUCAUCAGGGGCUUUCCCAUACUAAUCACGGUUUCACCAACCCCUUCAAAUAUGAUGAUGUCAUGAUGGGGUCAAAUCACCAAAGACUUUUCACAUUUAUCAUCUUCAUCGUGCAGAUAGCACUUAAAUUCAAAAAUUAAGCCUCUCCUUUUUGAAGUAGUUCGGAAGUCCAUUCUAGUCCAGUGUGAUAUAGAAACUUGAAGCCACUAGUGUGUCCAGCAGGAAAAUGAAGAAAUUGACUAAAUUAGCAAAAUCAUAGAUUGUUGAAUAAGAAAGAGGAAGUAGAAGGGUAGAAGGAGAAGGUGGCCUUUUUAAAGAUUUUAAUGUGGAAAUUAUACUUUUUUUGCAGAAAGAAAUCAACCACAUAUUAUUGUUCCAAGCAGACUACUUUUAUGUCUUAAUACAUGUCUCGAGGGGAUGUUUGAGUAGGACUCAUUUACCACAAAUUCUGGGUUAAUUAAGACUUUUUUUCAAACCAAAAACCAUGGCGGACUGAGUAACUGCAUCAAACCACUCACGCUCCCUUCACUCCACGAAAAUGUUUCCAUUAUUAAAGAAUUCAGCUACAAGGAUAUUUCAAGCAUGUAAACUACAUACAAUUUGUAGCUGAUGAAUUAAAACAUUUCACAACCGCCAAUAAAUGUUUAAAAUACACAUUUCAACAGUUUAGGUAAUAAGCAAGUGAUAUGUCUUCAGUCACUUCAAACAGUUGCAGGUAUUGAUCCACCAAACCACUCCGCUCUACUCACCACCUUCUUGAAUUAUCCAUUCCACUAAAAGACAUUUUGUUAGUGAAAAGACACACGCACACUUCCACAUCGUCCUACCUGCUAGUGUCAGCGGAGGUGAUGGCGAUGAGUGGUGGGGUGCGUAGUGGCAGUGUUGUGGGCCGUGGUGGAACUGUGACUGUGUCUGACUCCGGUUUGCGGUCACAGUAGUACUGUUCUGCCUGCCUGAAGGCCAAAGGGGGCAACUGGACCGUCCGGCAAGACAGCCUCCGCACCAUGAAGGGCUCCAUGCAAGUGACUGGCCCCGGCUCUGGCGAGUCGGAUGAAUCAUCGGACACCUGAAUGCAAAGGAAAGAAGGACCAGAUCAGAAACAGAAUAAGGAAAUGACAUAAACUGUCCUAACAGGGAUUUAACAGAAGAUGGAAAAUGAAAAUGGGUAUACACAUAUUAGUAGUGUAAACAGUAGGGCCAGUAGAUGGUGCAUGCACAAUACAGUUAUUACCUUCAAGGUGUGCAAUGUUUGGUUUGAAAACGUGUCCAAGAGUGUAAUUAAAUGUUUUAUUUGAUAUGGCCAUAAAAGGCUAUAACAACCCAUGUAUGCCUGUUUAAGCACCAUUUUGCCUUAUCUGCUCAAGGUCAAAGGUUCUUCUAGUUAUGAAAAGCCCAUUACAAUUUAAAAGACACCCAGCUGCCUCAUGUGAUACAUUAUGUUGAACGGCAUGGAGAAUUAUUCCUAAUGGCCUUUAAUCUAGCUACUACUGUCAGGUAAAAAAAAAAAAUAUUUGACCAUUUGUUAAUCAAGAAACCUUUUGUGAAAAAGACUGUUGACCUUGUUUUAGGAAAUAAGUUAAUUAAAGCACAACUGUCACUCUCUU